rnacentral:rRNA from 1 species
AAGCAGUGAUGUGAAGCAAAUCGCACCAAAGACCAGUCCCAGUUCGGAUAAGAGGCUGAAACUCGCCUCUUUGAAGUCGGAAUCGCUAGUAAUCGCAGAUCAGCAUGUUGCGGUGAAUACGUUCCCGGGUCUUGUACACACCGCCCGUCAAACCAUGAGAGUCACCAACACCCGAAGUCCGCCUUGGCGGCCUAAGGUGGGGGGAGAUGAUUGGGGUUAAGUCGUAACAAGGUAGC